ensembl:lncRNA
CUUUUCUCAGUAAGGAGCAGGGAUUUUAUUUUAUUAUUAUACUUUUGACAGAAAUCACUCCAGGAGGUACAUCUGUAGCAGAAUCUUAUACAAGUACUGUCUUCCAAAAAUCCAAUUACGCAGAUUCUCUACGACUCGAGAUCUUUUCAUUCUGGAGGGCUUGGGCUUCGCCUGCAGGGAUGAGCAUCCAAAGACGAGAGGCUGGAGGGAAUGAACAGCUUCCCCUGGGACAGGACACGCCUGGUACCCCUGGGUCCCCAGAAGCACAAGGCUGUCCUCUAAUUUUCUGAGAGCUAAUUGUUCCCAGGCCCAGAGGGAUCCUCUGCACAACCAGUUUCUGCAGAGACUUCAUUCCCUGGCAAAAUGAGCCUUUCCAUUUUUUUCCUGGUAAGUAUAACCCAUUCAAUCCCAUCCGAUUCUUUAAUGAAGCUCUGUUUUCCGUACAGACUCACGUUUUUAAACCUACUGGCCCCGUCAAUGUUCUGGAAACAUUGACAAGAUGGUCUGGUUUGCUUAACUUGAACCAUGCCUACAUUGUGUCUGAAACAAAACAAACAAAAACAAGCAACUCAGACAAAAGCCCUUAAUUGAUCUGAUGGUCAACAGGCUAUGAGGUAAGCUGAUUGCUUUCCUGAACUAGCUGGCGAUUUAGUCAGCACAAUUUAAGGGAAUCCACCUGAUCAAACCAGAGAGAUGGCCAAAUUCCAGGAAUACUUCUAAGUCAUUUCCGUGAUCUCUUCCUUCAAAAAUAUUUUGUAAUAACCUAUUAGGGAAAAGAAGCUGAUAAAAAGAUGUAUAUACAGCAGAAUCACUAUUCUGUACACCUGAAACAUAACAUUAAAGUCAACUCUACUUCAAUUUUAAAAAGUAAAAACAAAUGAAUAGGAGUUCCCAUCAUGGCUCGGUGGUUAAUGAAUCCGACUAGGAACCAUGAGGUUGCAGGUUCGAUCCCUGGCCUUGCUCAGUGGAUUCAGGAUCCAGCGUUGCCAUGAGCUGUGGUGUAGGUUGCAGACACGGCUGAGAUCCUGCGUUGCUGUGGCCGUGGUGUAGGCUGGCAGCUACAGCUCUGAUUAGACCCCUAGCCUGGGAACCUCUAUAUGCUGUGCUCAUGGCCCUAGAAAAGGCAAAAAGACAAAAACAAACAAAAAAAAGAAUAAAUACAGUGAGCAGAAAUAAGGCUCCGCUAAAUUUUAGGGGGACCUCUGCCAAGUCCUGGUGAAUGUCACACGGCUAAGAGUUGUGCAGAAGUGCAAUAGGAUGGCACGUGGCUGCAAAUCAGGAGCUGGUCAGUGAAGUGCCGAUGGCUCAGGAAGACACAAGGAAUACACACAGCUGGGUCCUGAGGAAUUUCUAGUCCUUCUUGUGGGGAAGUCUGCAGACCCAUAUCUAUGGACCUCAAAUGGCUUCAACUUUCAUAUUUUAUUUUUUAUUUUUAUUGUCUUUUUCUAGGGCCACACCCACAGCACAUGGAGGUUCCCAGGCUAGGGGUCUAAUCCGCCUAUGCCAGAGCCACAGCAACGUGUCCAGGAAGAUUUUCUUCCUUCCUUUCUUUCUUCCUCUCUCUCUCUCUCUCUCUCCCUCUCUUUCUUUCUUUUCUUCCUUCCUUUAUUUGGCGUCUUUUAGGGUCGCACCGGUGGCACAAGGAGGUUCCCAGGCUGGGGGUCAAAUUGGAGCUGUAGCUGUUGGCCUACACCAAAACCACAGCAAUGCUGGAUCCGAGCCACAUCUGUGACCUACACCACAGCUCACAACAACGCCGGAUCUUUAACCCACUAAGUGAUGCCAGGGAUGGAACCUGCGUUCUCGUGGAUACUGGUCAGAUUCAUUUCGGCCGAGUCACAACAGGAAGAUUUAAUGCUUGAAAUCUGAUGGCAACCAAUCCACGCCCCAUUAGCAUUGUGUAAUGGAGCUCUCUGGGCUUCACUGGAUCACUCCUUUCACUCCUCCCUUCGCACCUUCAGCCCCACAGACUGUCUCAUUUCCUGCUCUGUUCCAGGGCGCGUGCUCGGCUCCAGGAUGAAGUGUUCUUUUCCUUAAGGAACCUGCUCACCCUGCUCUCUGCUGCUAGUGAAGCUUCCUCUUUCUGACAUCCUUGACUUAAACUUUCAGAUUUAAAGUUUUUUGCCAUUUUCCCCCACUUUUCACCCAGCCUUACAGAGUUACUAGCUAUGAACCAGAAGGGACGUUCAUAAGAUACAGGAAGUAAGAAGCCACUUUUGCCCCCUUCUCUUCACCAUUGAAAAUAUGAGAAACAACAUCAAAUAAAUAAAAAGCAGUCUAGGGGCAAUAUGCGCAGAACCAAGCCUAGGAAGGUGCCAGCCUGGUUAUGCCCGCUGGAGGGAUGUAUGGUCAGGACAGUGCCGGGAAGUGACGAGGACUCCAGCCCUGGGCUUCUCAGGACAGCUUCUCAUUUACAGAGGAUCUGCUGGAGUGUGAACUUGACCUUGCUUGUCUAAGAGCAGGUGGUUCUGCCUGUACCUCAGGGAAGCUCUUUCCUACUAGAAAAGAGGUCAGUUUGGGAGUGAAAUUUUCCUUGUUCGGAAGGAUGGAUGCCCAGCCUGGUUUCCCAGACGGUGCUGUUGGUGCCGUUCUGCGAAAGGGUGCUAAGUUGUGUCCAUCUUGGUGACAAUAGAGUCAUCCCUUCUUAACCUUUGCCAGCAAUGCAUUCCCCGGGGAAGUGGCAUUACACGCAUCCCUCAACACGUCAUUUUGGUCCCUCCCCCCAGAACACCACAGUCUGACUUCCCCCCCAGAGCUUGGCACUUUGGUUCCCACCGUCCCCCCAGAACUCUGCACUUUGGUCCUUCCCCUGCCCCCCAGAACUCUGCACUUUGGUGUACUGAUCAUGCUGAGCUGCAGGCACUUGAGAAGCAGCAAGGGCAGGAGAGCCGUCUCUGACACCUCUUCUCUGCCACAGACGGACCCUCUGAAAGGAACUCAGUUAUCACACACCCUCCAGGGAAAUUUCAUCAGCCAGGGAGACUGGAUUUGUCACACUGGAAGUGACACCUGGGGAACUUUGUCACAGUCUGUCCCCUCUCCCAUUGACUUGCAAAGCCCAUUCGUCCUUCCUAAAAGUCUUGCACUUGCCCUAAGAGUCCUCCCCCGAUUAAUAUGGUGUUUAAGCCUGAGUCCUGAGCCACCUCUCCAAGCCCUGCAUGUCCCCGGACACCUCCCAAAUGUGCAUGAGGCGGAUGUGUUGUGGAACUUGUGCCAUGCUUGCCCGUCUUUCAUUCCAGGGCUCUCAGCUCUGCACUUAGAAGGGCAGGGGCAAAGCUUUUUCCUCCCUGCCUCUUAAGCGACAAGAGUUAACUUUGUUAGCAUUUUUGGUGGCAAGUAUCAGAAACUUCUGGACUCUGAGGCACCAGGGGACGUGGGACAAGGAUGCACUGUCCCCUGGGAAUGGGGUCGGGAGCAGAGGGAAGGGCUGGAGCUGAGAAGAAGGAGCAUCGCAUAGGGGGCCGUCCCCUCACAUCAUCCCUCUGCCUCCUCUCUCUCAUCUGUUUCCCUCUCUGACCAGCAUCCCACAGGGCCAGGGAUGAGGAGGCCCAGCCAACCUGCUGAGGACAGGGCCCCUCAAAAAGGGAGGGGACAUGGGGACCCUCAGGGAGGGGAGGUGGGGACCUGGGUUCAGUUCCUCAAGCCCAAGUUAGGCUGGUGUUGGUGUCACUGGUGGGCCCUGUGUGUCUUUCCUAUCCCUCAGCCUUGUUAUUCAGCUUCAUGAACUUGGUUUGGCCUGGUUUUGGCCAUGGCAGAAAACUCCCUUGUCAGCAUUCAAGAUCGAUAAUCCAAAAUGAAUCUUGCAGUUCUUCAGACUCCUCUUCAAGUGGAAAGUCCUGAAACAAAGGCUCCCUGCCUCCUAGAUGUAUUUACCACCCCCUCUGUUAGACUUCCAGCAGCUGUAGGAUUGUGCUCACCUGAAAAAAAAAAAAAAAAAUCUUCCUGCUCAAUUCAUUUCUCUAACACAUUUUUUUUUUCUGCCGAAGUCAGAGAUGAAUUAGCAAUGACUUGUCAGCCAAUUAAAAUUCAUAGAAAGCUAUUCUGUAACCCUUGGGUCAGAAACAAAUUUCUUAGCCACCUUAGGAGAGUCGCUCUUGGGUUUGCUGGGGUGAGAAAUUCAGGUUCUGCUCUGGGUUCUUAGUGAUGGCCAGGUGUUCCUGGGCAAUGUCUGUGCGGCUGGGCAGCUCUGAGCUCCCUUCUCAGUGAUUUCUUGGCCCAGUGAGGAGAAGGUCAGGCAGCAGCUGGCUUACAGUGAGCGAGUCUCAGCUGCAGGCUCCUGUCAGCUCUGGAUCAAGCAGAGACGCAGGGCGGGUGGGAGGAGGGUUGCCCAUUCCCCUAGAUCUGAGGUUGCAUGGCUCUCCUCUUCAGGAAGAGAAGGACACAGUUACCAGGGCUUUCACAGGUGUGACAAACACGCAGAGGCUGGAGCCAGUCUUCCUUCCCCUAGUCAGAACUGAACAGUUCAAGGCCUGUCAGGGAAAUUCUGUGGAUGGAAAAGCUUAUUCCGAAACACUUAGAAUGUCCCAUUACAGCAGGAUUAGCAAACUCUCCAGUUCCUAGUAGCUGGCCUUUUUUAUUGAUAGUCGUCCCACUGAGAAAAAAAUAAUCUUAUGCCGUAAGUCAUUAAAAGGAUUAGGUAGCUGUAGUUCCUGCUGUGGCAGUGGGUUAUUGAUCUGGGAUCGCUGCAGCUGUGACUUGGAUUUGAUCCCUGGCCCCGGGAACUUCCGUAUGCUCUGAGUUCAGCUGAAAUAGGGGGCAAAAAGGAUUGGAUAACCAAAAAGCAAAUGAAAGGUGCUCAACAUCACUAAUUAUUAGAGGAAUGCAUAUCCAAACUACAAUGACGUAUCACCUUACACCAGUCAGAAUGGCCAUAAUCAAAAAUGCUACAAACAAUAAAUACUGGAGAGGAUGUGGAGAAAAGGGAACCCUCCUAUACUGUUGGUGGGAAUGUAAAUUGGUGCAAUCACUAUGGAAAAUGGUAUGGAGCUCCCUUAAAAUACUAAAACGGUAUGGAACUCCCAUAACAUCCAGCGAUCCCACUUCUGGGGAUCUAUCCAGAGAAACCCAUAAUUCAAAAAGAUACUUGCACCCCAAUGUUCACAGCAGCACUAUUUAUAAUAGUUAAGAUACGGAAGCAACCUAAGUGUCCAUCAACAGAGGAAUGGAUAAAGAAGACGUGCUACCUAUAUACAAUGGAAGCUUAGUCAGCCAUAAAAAAGGAAUGAAAAUAGCAUUUGCAGCAACAUGGAUGGACCUAGACAUUAUUAUACUCUACAAAGUAAGUCAGAGAAAGACAAAAAUCAUAUGCUAUCACUUAUAUAUGGAAUCUAAUAAAGCGAUACCAAAGAACUUACUCAGAAAGCAGAAAGAAACUCACAGAUUUCAAAAUCAAACUCCUGGUCACCAAGGGGGGAAGCCAUGGGGUGGAGGGAUACAUUAGGAGGUUAGGAUUAACACACCCUCACUACUAUACGUUAAAUAGACAAACAGCAAGGCUCUGCUCUAUGGCACAGGGAGGUCUAUUCAAUAGUUUGUAAUAACCGAAAUGGGAAAAGAAUGGAUAUAUGUAUAUAUAUAACUGAUGUACUUUGCUGUGCACCUGAAGUUAACACAACACUAAGUCAACUAUACUUCAAUAAAAUAAUAAUUUAAAAAACCCCAAAGUAUUGGAUCCAUGUGUCAUGUCCCUUUCCAUCUCUCUGUUUAGAGAAGAGCAAGUGCUUUGCAACAUGGGGAAUCAGCGAAGACAAUACAUUGCUUCUGACACUGUGCUGUCAAAGGGACAGAAGAAAAAGACUUGUGUGAAAAAGAACAGCAAGUGUGCUGGCUAGUGAGCCAAGAGGGUAGGGGCGUCACAGCUGCUGACAGCCUGACUAAGGAAGUAGGAAUUGUAUCCGCAGCCAAGAGUGAGAUGUUCCUGGGACAUGGAACAGGUGAGACGUUCAUUUCUUCCUUGUCCGUUUGUACCAGAGAGGCUGUCACCUGAGCCAUCACGGCCACCCCGUGGGCUACAGAAGGGCCCCAUCCCACCAACACCCAUCUCCAACCAAUGAGAAUGCAAGACGGCUGGACCACCUCCCCACACACCCCCUUUCAACCAGCCUGCCCCCAAACGGCUUUCUUUUUGGGUGGCACCAGUCCCUGGCUCUGCCGCAGCCUCUGUCCUAGCAAGGGGAACGUGGGUGUCAUCGCCAUUUUUACCAGCGCCCGUGGUGAGUGUGUCUUCCUGGGUCGUUGUCUGGCCCCAUCCUGGGGACUCCAGUCACAUGCAAUGUUCCCAGUUACUGCUUUCGUGCUAAUUUAGUUUGAGUCAAUUUAACACCUCACAUGAAGCAUUAGGUUACUACUCGGAGCUGGGGCUCUGGGUCAUGGACUCUGUCUCCAGACACAAUUGCAAAAGUGCUGCCUGGCCCUUGGCACCUGGCCAUGGUCACAAACGUCCCCAGAGAGCCAUGGGCAUGUGGGAAAUGAGGUCCAUGUAAGUUUUCUACUGAGUGCCUCCUACUUUCCCAUCUUGAGGAACUACCUUCCAGCAGGAGCAGGUGGGGAUAACAUGUCAAGAGUGAGCUGAGCUGCCUGCUCUGGUGUGACAAAGGGGAGCAAGCACCCUCAGGCACGUGGUGGGGGGCAGACCUCCCACAGGGGGCGCACUGAGCCCUGGAUAAGGAAAGGCUGGGUGGGGAGGGAGGGGGAAGGGGAUGGGCUUCAGGCCAACUCUGAGGCCAGAAGGAGCUUCUAGGGGAAUCGGAGGGCUUGGAGGCAGGACCAGACCCUGCAGGAUUGCUGGUGGGAUGCCAGGUUAACUUCCCUGCAGCAGAGGCCAUGGAGACUGCAGUGGUGGAGCCCUGGCCACUGUGUGGAAAGCAGCUGCAGAGCAGGGGUGACGCACACCCAGGUGGCAGGCUCUGGCCAGGCCCCUCUGUUCACUCUGCACCAGGAGUGGGCGUCCCAUCAGCUCACACUAAAACUCUGAGCCUCACAUGAGUCAAAGGUUGGGCACAUGAAGUGCUGAUUUCAGUCAUGCCUUAGGUGGGUAUGGCCUUAAAAGAGGGGGCUGGGCCCCCUAAAGGAUGCACUCAGAUCCACUGAUUCUGAAUGUGUCCCUUUCAAAACAGCUGGCAUAGGAGUGGGGGGAGAUGGCAUCUGAGGCUUAGAAACAAUAGAAGUUUACUCAUCGGUGGUCCUUACUUGCCAUCCUGUUCACUGCUCUAUCCUGAGCACCCAGAACAGAGGCUGAAGUGUAACUAGUUGUUGAAAGAGUGAUGGAUUAGCUUAGUUAAAGCUCAAGGAAUACUACAAUUAAACCCUGGUAGGAGAGCACCCCAGUCAACUAAAUCAAAUAGCCUUGCACAGGAGCUUGGUAUUUGAGUGCCAUUUUUGCAGAAGGCUGGAAAUCACCUCUAGCCUCACUGCACCAGCACCCAAGGCUUCCUGCUGCUCAACAUUUCUGGAACAGCCUGACCAUGCAGACAACUCCACCUCUGGCCUGGCCCCCUGCCCCCCUGCCCUCCAAGCCCUCACUCUCCAGAGAGACCUGGCAGAGACCAUCUCCCUGACACACAGGCCCUAGUGGGCACCAGCCUCCAUCCUGCUCCCAGCUGCCUUUCCCUGCCUGCCUUCCCGCCCUAUACCCCAAACAGGGAACUUCUUGUGGGAGUGAUCAAGCCCUAAAUCACUAUUUUUAUUUCUUGGAGUAAACUUAAGGCUGAGAAAAGGUUCUGGAAUGAC